UCGGUUUUUUUCGUCCCCUUCUCACACCCCGAAUUGCCUGACCCGCUAAAAAAAAUCCCCUCGUCCGAUCCCCAACCUCCCCCCGAUCUCGUCGCCGCUGCCUCCUACCGGUGCGCCACCACUCCCGCCUCCUUCCGGCGCGCCGUCAUCCCCGCCUCCUUUCGGCGCGCCGUCAUCCCCGCCUCCUACCGGCGCGCCGCCGGACCCUCCUUCCCUGGAGCGCCGCCACCCCGCUGCCGCCGCCAUCUUCCCGAGCGCGCCGUUGCCGCCGUCUUCCCCAGAGCGCCACCGCCCCGCCACCCCCGCCCACGGGACCAGUGGUCCCAUCGCCGGUCUCCCCCCACCCAGAUCUGCCGGAGGCGCACCGGAUCCUGCCUCACGGCCGGUUCCCGCAACUCAGCCGCCACCCCAACCGCUGCAGCAGCCGAGCACCUCCACUAGGUGCCCCGGCGGUUCGGACCCCCACCUGGCCCCUCCCUCGAACCCAGCGAGCCUCCGCCCCAGCCUACUUCCCGCGCGAGGUCGCCUCCGCCUCCGCCUGGAUGGAUGGAUUCAGGAAGGUAUCCUUCCUCCCUGGGUGGAGCGAGCUGCAGAUCCCGUCCGGCCCUCGGGAACCGGCCAUCUCCGCCUCCUCCUCGCCGCUGCCGCUGGGGAUCACGUCUUCACCAAACGCGAGCUCCGCCCCAUCCGACCGACCGCAAAGGGAGAUAGGACAUGGCGGAAACAAAACUGCACAGCGAUGUGCAUUUCUGCAACACAUCAGGUCUACAUUUUCCAUUGCCCUGGACUUAUGAACGGAAGAAAAAGCAACAUGAAGUUCAUGUCUGCAUCAAACUGCUUUCACUUAUAUUCUGCCGAAUUUGUUCCUUCUAUGGGACUACAUGGGGAUUAUCUACAAGGGUUAUGUCCUCUGCAGGUAGAUUAUCUUAUAGGACAGGCGAAAUGCAACAGAAGAAGCUCCUCCGCUGCUACUCGCCAAACUCCAAGCAAAAAGGACCUUCCACUUUCCUUGCUAAUGGAGGAUAUUCAAUACCAAGAUUUAUGAUUUGGCAUAAGUGAGAUGACAUACAAGUGAGUUUAAUUCGUGAGAGUGAAAUAGCAACAGUUUUCUUAUCAUACCGCCGGCAGCUGCACCUCAACUGUGUGGAAAAAGAAAUCUUGAAGAACCAAGACCACCACCAGCUGGAAGAAGGUAAAAAUCCUUUUUUUUCUUCUCCCUCCUCAUUUGAUUUCCAUUUCCUCGCAGCUCUAGGUAAUUUCGUGACCUACCUCUUGGUAAGUCACCUAUCUACAGAAUGCAUGUAGUGUGUGUGUGUCAGAUAUACAGUGAAAAAACACCACAAUGCAAGUGUCAGAUCCUGUUCUUGGUGCAAUUUUGCCACUAUGUUCUGGACUGUAAGCAACUGCUUCAUGUUAAACUAAAGCUCCAAUCAGGCUUGUGGCUGUUCUGUACCUGUAUGCCUAGAUUAUUUACUAAUGGGAUAUGCACUAGAUCUUCCUGUAUAGGAUCAUCAAUUGCUAGGAAUAGUCAUGGUUUUUAUUAAUUUUUCAUGUUUUUUUAUUUAGUUUGACUUCCACUUAUCUGGUACACUAAAUGAUCUCUAGCUAAUUUUUAACUAUUGAUUAGUACACUGAGAUGAAUUCUAUUGGUCUCAGAGUGCAAGAGAUUUCCUGGAUGCCUCAACUAUAUGCAUACUUGUGUUAUAUUUGACACCCUCAUGAAAUGUACUAGAUGGCGUAUUCUUCCGUGUAGCUUAAAAUUCUUAAAACAAAUGUCCCUAAAAUAGCAAGGUGAAAUCUUGAUUUUUCUUGCUGUGAACAAAUGGAUCAUAAUUAAUUUCCCUGAUUGAUCAAUAUCAUCAUGGGCAUCACUAGCCAUCAGACUACUGAUAGUUCACAACUAUCAGACCAGUCCAAGGCCGUUGGGUCAGAUGCCGGACGUACGCUCGAUCUGGUAGUCCACUUGUUUGAUUAGAUGCUUCCAAUCCCUAAUUUGUUGCUGCUUCCUAAUCGCUCCCACAAUGCACGCCCUGCAUCCCUGCGUCUCUCUCCAUCCCGAAUAUUACUUUCUUGCAUGGUUCCCUCGAAAUCAUGGAAACAUGGCGCCUGAUUCUUUCCAAGUUUGUUUCCUAACGAGUGCUUCCAUAAACCAGGGCGAAAACUACUUCCAGAAAUCACGUGAGUACAUGUUCUUGAUUUUCGCAUGAGGCUAUUUGCUUCCUCAUGAAGCACAUCUUGAUUCCAUUUUUAUUUAAAUUUACUUCCAUUCGUGUGGAUGUUCUUUGACAUCAUAAAAAAUGUUUUUCCAGUGUAAUGCAAGAUUAAACUUGCUUCCGUUUAUCAAUGAGUUUGCGCCCAUAGUGAACUAAACUUGCUACGGUUAAUACGUAUUUGUUUUCUACCUAGAGGAUUGCACCACCAAAAUAAGACAUUCUUCCUAUAAAAAUAACCAUUAUCACGAGUACAAAUAAAACAUGCUUCAAGCAUAUUAGGGAUGUGAUUCCAAGAAAUUCAAAUAUGCUUUGCUUUCAUCAUCUGAAAAUCAUUCUUCCAACACUACAAACUAUGCUUCAUAAUCCAGUCAUUUUUUUCUCUCAAAGCAGUUUCAUGUGUAUUGUUUUAUUUGUUUUUUAGGUAUGACUCCAUGUGUUAUGACCGCCCUUUUUUGGCUUACUAGAAGUUUAGUUGCUUUGUACAUAGCUUGUAGGAUUCCUGCCUACUAUGUCGCUCCGCCGCUACGGUCCUGUCGAAGCCCCUCCCUGCUCUGCUCCAUCCAUCGUGUCCGGCCUAGCCUCGAUGACCUUCUUUUGUCCCACAAAUCUGUGGGUUUUGACAUCGCGAGCCACAAGAGUUGGUGAGGACCAGAGAGGCCGGCACCAUCGAGGGUACGACGCCCUUGACCUUUGACAGCCGAGUGUGCAUCUUGCUUGUUUGCUUGCAGCACGAUGACAAAACAAUGAGCAAUGAAAUGCUUGAUCUCACGUCGCACGCCAUGCCCCCAUCGACGACCGUGGCAUGCUCACAAUCAGUAAAGCAAGAUCUUUCGCUCAAGUUAGUUCUGCAGGAAUUUAGGAAGCAUGUGUAGUUUGAUUUGGUUACAAACAUGGCGCCUACAAAAUAAUAUGAAACAUGGAAAUGAAGCAAACUAAACAAGGUGUAGAAGCACAGUUGUUAAGUACAUGAAGCAAACCAUACACUAUUAAGAAGCAUAACCAUGGUCCAUAUAUGAAGCAAACUAUGCACCAUGAAGAAGCACAACUAUGAUACAAUUGAAUCAUGAAAAUUGGAUACAUCGUAUUCAUGUAAUCUCAACAUAAUUUCUACAUAGUGGAAGCACAUAUAAGAAAAAUGGGGUGCAAAAUAUCUAUGCACAGUCAUUCAAAUUAAGACAAGCGGUGACAUGCAUCUUGUCCAUAAUAUGUGUGAAAUUUAGGAAGCAUGAUUUAGUUGUUCAUUAAGUAAAAACAUGAUGCCUACAAGAACGUGCAAAGGAUUGGCAGAAAGCAGAACUGAACGAUGUAGAAGCACAAGUUUGAUAUGUACGAAGCAAAGUGGACUCAAUGUAGAAGCAUUGGCAUGAUAAAUGAAGCAGAGUUUAACCAGCAAUGGUGUAGUAGUACUAUAUGUAUGUAUGAAACAUGAAAAGCUGGAAGCAUUGUACGGAUGCAAUCUCGACAUACUUUCUAUAUAACGAGGAUAGUCAUGAAAAGGUUGGAUGAGGAUGGUAUGGCGGAUUCGCGCGACCAGCAGCGUGUGCUCCCUUCACCAACUUUGAACAUAGACAACAAAGAGGGGAAAAAGAGCGACAAAAUCUUCUCGCUUCUCACUUAUAUUGCAGCCAACAUUGAGAAGCACAUGUACAUAUGUACAUACCAAAUUCAGAAAUAUUACUCUGAUUCAGUCACAUAAUACACAAUGGUGUGGCCAAAAUAAUGAAUGAGUUAUACAAAUACACAAUGGAGGUGUACAAAAUUCAUCAAACAACACUGGUGACAUACAAACAUGUUAGAAAUCAGAGAGGGCUAUAUCAAGAUUUCCCAGAAUUACCUAGGUCAGAUGAGGAUGCUACCUGCAGAGGAGAUGGGGGGCGACUCCAGCAAGGUUCCUCGCACGAUGGAUUCAUUUGAAAACCGAGACGAAGCUCCGCCACGGUGGCCUGGACGCCGGGGGAUCCGAAGCAAGUGUAGAUAACCGGGAUGACCAUGGACUGCGAGCUCGCUUGUCAUGCUCGACGUGGCUAAUGCCGGCCACCACAAUCGUGUGGGACGACGCACCUGCGAGUUGUGUCUCAUGGGAAUUGGGGAGGCUGGUUCAUGGCGGCGAGAACAAGGGCAAGGCAGCCGGGGACGAGAUUGGCGAGCUCCGGAGCAGGCGACGGGGAUGGGAACGGGUGGGCUUUGGCAGGUGAGAUUAAUGUUGGAGUAGUUAUGGGUGGAAAAUCAGGCUGUUUUGGAAACUAAUCAAAGGAUUUCGGACGCAAUCUCGGCCGUGAGAUGAAAGAAGCACCGACGGUGUGCGAUUAGUCUCACAAACGUCUGCUAUCAUAUGCCUGCUCACGAUGGAUCUGUGCAUCAAAGUGUGAUCAGGCAUAAACAUGAAAGAACUAGGAAGCAAACCAUACUUCAUGUGUGCAUUGAGAUGAACUGAUUUUUAGACGCAACAGUAAGUUGUAAAACUGAGAUUAACCUUUUAAAGUUAUAUCUGAUACAUCAGUAGUAGGUUACUUGAAGUAGUCAGCAGCAGUAUUUUUCUUUACAAAAGUUUAGCUAAGCCUGUCAUUGACGUGAGAUUAUGUGGGAUCUUCACUUGUUCUGUAAUUUUUUUUGUACACACAUGUGGGCCUCCCACUUAUAUUAUGCGAUGGAUGUGAUUUGGGGUUGGGGUUUGUUCUGUUCAAUUAUCGUUCUAUGAGCGGAAUAAUUUCCCUACAUUAGAAAAUCUGGCAAAUUCCAUUUCAUUAGAGCUGACUUUGCAGCAAAUUGCUUGAGCGAGUGGUUCAUUUUUUUUUACAUCAAGUCAUACAAUGUUUUAGUUAGCAUAGAAUGGUACAUGCAUUUGUUGGUUGCUUCAAGAGUUAAUAAUGGAUACAGUGACAACAGACAUCAUAGUUUGUCCAGUGGCUAAGGAAACAUUGGAUCUGCCUUCUUGGCUUAGGAGGCGUUGUGGGCGGCCAAUGCCUCCUUCCCCUUCCAUGGAGGCGGCGGAUCAACGCGAACACAGAGGAAGGGAUGUGGGUGGAGAGUUGGGCGGUUUGCAGGUCUCCUGGAUGGUCCAUGGAGAAGUUCGGUAUGAAGGAGAGAGGGUGCUAGCGAAGGCGAGGUGGGCGUCAUCCAGUUUUAAAUGAGAGGGCUCCAUCGAGAAAUGUCACGCUACGAUGAAAAUCGAGCAGGAAGGGAAUGGUCUGACAGGAAAAGGAAAGGGUGUGUCGUGAGGUGGAUUUUUUGUGUUGGGCCCUCUUUUUGUUUGAGAUAACAUGAUGAAUAGUCCGGACAACCAUAUUUCUCCUCCAUAUAUGGUAUGUAUUUGGGGAAGGCUGAACUGUCUAGCUGGUUUAAUUUUGGGGUGCCGGCUGGGCACCCAUUUGAUGUCAAAACACCUUCGGACAUGGGAAGGAUAUAUGAGCUUCAACGUUGGAGACAAUCUUAAUUAUUUGUUUGAUUCA